rnacentral:lncRNA from 1 species
CACAAAGGAGCAUCCUUGAACAUGAUGCCAAGUAUCACUAAAAGGAGGAUAAGUAGCACCAACCCUUGGCUGCUGCCGCAGCCAACAAUGACCAUGGUUGAAUCACCCUACACAACUAGCUUCUUGGCCCACAGCCUCGGUCUUGAAAGAAAAUACCAGCUUAGGUAGCCCACAACUCUAUUGCAAAAAUGGUACUGUCAAGGAGGUGACACCCACCAGUAACCACUAGUUUAGAGUCAGGGCCGAGAAUGACAAAGCCUGCACCACCCCUAAGACCUCUCAUACUGCUGUUGAAGUUGACCUUGAGGAAACUUAGGGGUGGGGGCUUCCAAGUGAUAAACACUACACAGGGUCAUUACCUGAGUGGUUGGGGAGUCCUAAGUGUCCUAAGUAAUUGAGAUCAGAUCAAUUAACAACACAUCUAUAACCUUCCUAGCCUGCACCAAUGCCCUCCCCAUGGUAAAUCUUGCUGGCUGCCAAGAUGCCUCAGAGGUUUCUCUAUUCCUAGCAAGCCAAAUAUGAUAAGCGAUAUACACUGCCUUGAUUCCCCAUCUCCUAGUAGAAUCACUUUGUAGACUCCACUGUAGCCCCUCCAGAGAGUACUAAGCUAGAUCCAUAGAGGCAUCCGCCAUCCGAGAGAGUCUUACUAAAGUCCGAACAUGUCGAGCCUUAGAACAAAAGAACAAAAUAUGGUCCACUAUCUCGUCAUCAUUACAAUCGCUCAAGCAGGACAGAGGGAUGUCCAUACCUCUGGCAUGCAGCAUUGCCCUAGUCAGAAGAGAGCGCCAAGCCACCUUCAAAAGAAAGAGACGAACCCUCGAAUGGACCUUAACCCUCUAAAUCCAUGCACCAUCCAUCCUCCUAACCAUCUCCUCCUGAACAUCUUAUAAAGAUCUCUCGUCAUUGCCCUUGAUGUGCAAAUAGAACCCCAAACUCUAACAUCCAGACAUCGAAGAUAGGGACAGCAGUGGCCAGCACUCUCUCCACAAGGACCGGCCCGAAAAGCUGGGAUACCACAUUAGCAUGCCAACACCCCCCUCCCUAGGCUGGAGGAGAUCUACUAUCUGUAUCGAGUCUAUAGUCUCCAUACUGAUAUAGGUCGGCCAGCAGACCAUUGACACAUCAGC